CCUACGGGAGGCAGCAGUGGGGAAUAUUGCGCAAUGGGCGAAAGCCUGACGCAGCGACGCCGCGUGAGGGAUGAAGGUCUUCGGAUCGUAAACCUCUGUCAGCAGGGAAGAACGGUCACUGUGCUAAUCAGCAGUGCAUUGACGGUACCUGCAAAGGAAGCACCGGCUAACUCCGUGCCAGCAGCCGCGGUAAUACGGAGGAUGCGAGCGUUAUCCGGAUUUAUUGGGUUAAAAGGGUGCGUAGGCGGGAUGCCAAGUCAGCGGUAAACAUGCGGUGCUCAACGCCGUCGAGCCGUUGAAACUGGCGUUCUUGAGUGGGCGAGAAGUAUGCGGAAUGCGUGGUGUAGCGGUGAAAUGCAUAGAUAUCACGCAGAACUCCGAUUGCGUAGGCAGCAUACCGGCGCCCUACUGACGCUGAGGCACGAAAGCGUGGGUAUCGAACAGGAUUAGAUACCCUGGUAGUC
rnacentral:rRNA from 1 species